UUUGGUUAAGUUAGAAAGGGCGCACGGUGGAUGCCUUGACACUAGGAGUCGAUGAAGGACGGGACUAACGCCGAUAUGCUUCGGGGAGCUGUAAGUAAGCUUUGAUCCGAAGAUUUCCGAAUGGGGAAACCCACCAUACGUAAUGGUAUGGUAUCCUUAUCUGAAUACAUAGGGUAAGGAAGACAGACCCAGGGAACUGAAACAUCUAAGUACCUGGAGGAAGAGAAAGCAAAUGCGAUUUCCUGAGUAGCGGCGAGCGAAACGGAACAUAGCCCAAACCAAGAGGCUUGCCUCUUGGGGUUGUAGGACAUUCUAUACGGAGUUACAAAGGAACGAGGUAGACGAAGCGACCUGGAAAGGUCCGUCGUAGAGGGUAACAACCCCGUAGUCGAAACUUCGUUCUCUCUUGAAUGUAUCCUGAGUACGGCGGAACACGUGAAAUUCCGUCGGAAUCUGGGAGGACCAUCUCCCAAGGCUAAAUACUCCCUAGUGAUCGAUAGUGAACCAGUACCGUGAGGGAAAGGUGAAAAGCACCCCGGAAGGGGAGUGAAAGAGAUCCUGAAACCGUGUGCCUACAAAUAGUCAGAGCCCGUUAACGGGUGAUGGCGUGCCUUUUGUAGAAUGAACCGGCGAGUUACGAUCCCGUGCGAGGUUAAGCUGAAGAGGCGGAGCCGCAGCGAAAGCGAGUCUGAAUAGGGCGUUUAGUACGUGGUCGUAGACCCGAAACCAGGUGAUCUACCCAUGUCCAGGGUGAAGUUCAGGUAACACUGAAUGGAGGCCCGAACCCACGCACGUUGAAAAGUGCGGGGAUGAGGUGUGGGUAGCGGAGAAAUUCCAAUCGAACCUGGAGAUAGCUGGUUCUCCCCGAAAUAGCUUUAGGGCUAGCCUUAAGUGUAAGAGUCUUGGAGGUAGAGCACUGAUUGGACUAGGGGUCCUCAUCGGAUUACCGAAUUCAGUCAAACUCCGAAUGCCAAUGACUUAUCCUUAGGAGUCAGACUGCGAGUGAUAAGAUCCGUAGUCAAAAGGGAAACAGCCCAGACCGCCAGCUAAGGUCCCAAAGUGUGUAUUAAGUGGAAAAGGAUGUGGAGUUGCUUAGACAACUAGGAUGUUGGCUUAGAAGCAGCCACCAUUUAAAGAGUGCGUAAUAGCUCACUAGUCGAGUGACUCUGCGCCGAAAAUGUACCGGGGCUAAAUACACCACCGAAGCUGCGGAUUGAUACCGAAUGGUAUCAGUGGUAGGGGAGCGUUCUAAGGACAGUGAAGUCAGACCGUAAGGACUGGUGGAGUGCUUAGAAGUGAGAAUGCCGGUAUGAGUAGCGAAAGACGGGUGAGAAUCCCGUCCACCGAAUGCCUAAGGUUUCCUGAGGAAGGCUCGUCCGCUCAGGGUUAGUCAGGACCUAAGCCGAGGCCGACAGGCGUAGGCGAUGGACAACAGGUUGAUAUUCCUGUACCACCUCUUUAUCGUUUGAGCAAUGGAGGGACGCAGAAGGAUAGAAGAAGCGUGCGAUUGGUUGUGCACGUCCAAGCAGUUAGGCUGAUAAGUAGGCAAAUCCGCUUAUCGUGAAGGCUGAGCUGUGAUGGGGAAGCUCCUUAUGGAGCGAAGUCUUUGAUUCCCCGCUGCCAAGAAAAGCUUCUAGCGAGAUAAAAGGUGCCUGUACCGCAAACCGACACAGGUAGGCGAGGAGAGAAUCCUAAGGUGUGCGAGAGAACUCUGGUUAAGGAACUCGGCAAAAUGACCCCGUAACUUCGGGAGAAGGGGUGCUUUCUUAACGGAAAGCCGCAGUGAAUAGGCCCAAGCGACUGUUUAGCAAAAACACAGCUCUCUGCGAAGCCGUAAGGCGAAGUAUAGGGGGUGACACCUGCCCGGUGCUGGAAGGUUAAGGAGAGGGGUUAGCGUAAGCGAAGCUCUGAACUGAAGCCCCAGUAAACGGCGGCCGUAACUAUAACGGUCCUAAGGUAGCGAAAUUCCUUGUCGGGUAAGUUCCGACCCGCACGAAAGGUGUAACGAUUUGGGCACUGUCUCAACCAGAGACUCGGUGAAAUUAUAGUACCUGUGAAGAUGCAGGUUACCCGCGACAGGACGGAAAGACCCCGUGGAGCUUUACUGUAGCCUGAUAUUGAAUUUUGGUACAGUUUGUACAGGAUAGGCGGGAGCCAUUGAAACCGGAGCGCUAGCUUCGGUGGAGGCGCUGGUGGGAUACCGCCCUGACUGUAUUGAAAUUCUAACCUACGGGUCUUAUCGACCCGGGAGACAGUGUCAGGUGGGCAGUUUGACUGGGGCGGUCGCCUCCUAAAGUGUAACGGAGGCGCCCAAAGGUUCCCUCAGAAUGGUUGGAAAUCAUUCGUAGAGUGCAAAGGCAUAAGGGAGCUUGACUGCGAGACCUACAAGUCGAGCAGGGACGAAAGUCGGGCUUAGUGAUCCGGUGGUUCCGCAUGGAAGGGCCAUCGCUCAACGGAUAAAAGCUACCCCGGGGAUAACAGGCUUAUCUCCCCCAAGAGUCCACAUCGACGGGGAGGUUUGGCACCUCGAUGUCGGCUCAUCGCAUCCUGGGGCUGUAGUCGGUCCCAAGGGUUGGGCUGUUCGCCCAUUAAAGCGGUACGCGAGCUGGGUUCAGAACGUCGUGAGACAGUUCGGUCCCUAUCCGUCGUGGGCGUAGGAAAUUUGAGAGGAGCUGUCCUUAGUACGAGAGGACCGGGAUGGACGCACCGCUGGUGUACCAGUUGUUCUGCCAAGGGCAUAGCUGGGUAGCUAUGUGCGGAAGGGAUAAGUGCUGAAAGCAUCUAAGCAUGAAGCCCCCCUCAAGAUGAGAUUUCCCAUAGCGUAAGCUAGUAAGAUCCCUGAAAGAUGAUCAGGUUGAUAGGUUCGAGGUGGAAGCAUGGUGACAUGUGGAGCUGACGAAUACUAAUAGAUCGAGGACUUAACCAUAUAAUAUU
rnacentral:rRNA from 1 species